GUUGGGCUGGGGCUCAGUGGUGGAGCGCUCGCCUAGCAUGUGAGAGGCGCUGGAUUCGAUCCUCAGCACCAUAUA
rnacentral:tRNA from 1 species